rnacentral:tRNA from 1 species
GGGCCCGUAGCUCAGCGGUAGAGCACCGCCCUUAUAAGGCGGCCGCCGAUGGUUCGACUCCAUCCGGGCCUA